UGAAGGAAGAAAUCAGUCCGCGUCCUGGUCGCUGUGGGGAACGGCAGAGGAGCCGCAGGUUUUGCCAUUGGGAAAGCCACUGAAUGGGUGAACGCUUUCAGAAAAGCAAAGAACAAAGCAGUUCAGUAUCUGCAUUAUAUAGAGCA